GCAUCAUAUAUAGAGAGAGAGUACAACUCUCUCUCUCUCUCUCUCUCUCUCUCUCUCUAUAUAUAUAUAUAUAUAUAUAUAUAUAUAUGUAGAGAGAGAGAGAGAGAGAGAGAGAGAGAGAGUUGUACUCUCUCUCUAUAUAUGAUG